rnacentral:rRNA from 1 species
CCUACGGGUGGCAGCAGUGAGGAAUAUUGGUCAAUGGACGAGAGUCUGAACCAGCCAAGUCGCGUGAAGGAUGACUGCCCUAUGGGUUGUAAACUUCUUUUAUAUGGGAAUAAAAUGUUCCACGUGUGGGAUUUUGUAUGUACCAUAUGAAUAAGGAUCGGCUAACUCCGUGCCAGCAGCCGCGGUUAUACGGAGGAUCCGAGCGUUAUCCGGAUUUAUUGGGUGUAAAGGGAGCGUAGGUGGAUUGUUAAGUCAGUUGUGAAAGUUUGCGGCUCAACCGUAAAAUUGCAGUUGAAACUGGCAGUCUUGAGUACAGUAGAGGUAGGCGGAAUUCGUGGUGUAGCGGUGAAAUGCUUAGAUAUCACGAAGAACUCCGAUUGCGAAGGCAGUUCACUGGACUGCAACUGACACUGAGGCUCGAAAGUGUGGGUAUCAAACAGGAUUAGAUACCCCUGUAGUC